rnacentral:rRNA from 1 species
UAGGGAAUCUUCCACAAUGGACGAAAGUACUGAUGGAGCAACGCCGCGUGAGUGAAGAAGGGUUUCGGCUCGUAAAACUCUGUUGUUAAAGAAGAACAUAUCUGAGAGUAACUGUUCAGGUAUUGACGGUAUUUAACCAGAAAGCCACGGCAACUACGUGCCAA